rnacentral:lncRNA from 1 species
GAUUUGUCAGCCCACCUCUCUGCUGCCCUCUCAGGGCGGAGAGGAACCACAAAGGCCUUAUGUACCACCCUACUCCCAAAAAACCUAGGAGAACCCCGAAAUAAUGGCCGUGGAGGACAGUAUUGCAGAGGAGGCCUCCCUUUGUCUGCAGUUCUCUUUAGAAGCGGAUUCGGUAGCCUGACUCCACCAUCUGACGGAUGUCCAGCGGGGUCUGGAGACGCGGCUAAGCCACACGGCGCAGCCCUGGCUGCUCACAGCCCAGGCUCCUGGCUUCCCACGGUGUCCUUUACGCAAAGUAGGAAACCAGAUUUGGACCGCAUCCGCCAACGGGUUGGACGGGCUCCCAGCAGCCUUGCCUGGGUCUCGCUCCACUCUGUGCCCGGGGACCUUGACUUUCCGUCUGGAGAGGGGCGGGCGGAGGGAGCCGGGCUGUGCGGCCCGCACUCUGCGCUCCGCAGGCGGCGCUGCGUGGCUGCGGCUGGGACGGGGUUGAGGGAGCCAGGGGGGACCCCACACCCUCCCUCGACAGUCCCUGCCGGCUCGUCCGCCUCUCCUGGGUCGUAUCUCCAGACCCCUCCCCUAAGACAGCCCCGUGCCCCCCGACCACGGCGCCACCGACCCUCGAGGCUGAAAGAGGGGGCCUCGAUCGCGCCCCCGCCCCUGCCCAGAGGGCGUGGGACCGGGUGGGGGACGCAGGCAGGGAUCUCGGCCUCUUGGGGUGGGGUGUCUUCUCGCCCCGCGUCCCCGGGGCGGGGGCGCUUGGGGAGGGGGCUGGCGGGGGCGGCCGUGAGCUGGAGCCUGUUUGUCGCGGCGCCGCCGAGUGGAACAGAUGGCUGGGAGGGGGGGAGAGGGUACGUGGCGGGGAGGAGGAGGCUGCGGGGGCCGGGGGCUGAGGAACGCGGGAUUUCGACGCCCCGAGUCUCCCGGGAGAAGCGCCCCUCCCCACCUCUUCCCAGAAAGAGGGGGCGGGCAAGCGCCUGCCCUUUCUCCCCCAAGACCCCCCCCCGCAGACCCCACCGUCCCCCUGGGGGCGCGCCCCUCAUCCCCGGGACCCCCAGAGUGGGCGGCGUCCAGGCCGCCGGGACGCAAGGGUUAAUGGGGGUCCCCACCCCCGCUCCGAGGGGCGAGGGGGCGGCGGGACGCGGGGCGAGACUUCUGGGGGGAAAUGUGCCAAUUGGAACGUCACGCAGAUGA